CCUACGGGUGGCAGCAGUGGGGAAUAUUGCACAAUGGGCGAAACCCUGAUCCAGCGACGUCGCGUGAAGGAAGAAGUAUUUAGGUAUGUAAAAUUCUAUCAGCAGGGAAGAAAAUGACGGUACCUGACUAAGAAGCCCCGUCUAACUACGUGCCAGCAGCCGAGGCAACACGUCGGGGGCAAGCGUUAUCCGGAUUUACUGGGUGUAAAGGGGGCGUAGGCGGCGAUGCAAGUCAGAAGGGAAAGCCCGGGGCUCAACUCCGGGACUGCUUUUGAAACUGGAUGGCUAGAUUGCAGGAGAGGCAAGUGGAAUGCCUAGUGUAGCGGUGAAAUGCGUAGAUAUUAGGAGGAACACCAGUGGCGAAGGCGGCUUGCUGGACUGUAAAUGACGCUGAGGCUCGAAAGCGUGGGGAGCAAACAGGAUUAGAUACCCGGGUAGUC
rnacentral:rRNA from 1 species